UAAGACCUCUACAAGGAAAACUACAAAACAUUAUUGAGAGAAAUUAAAGAGGCCUCAGUAAAUGGAAAAAAUAUACCCUGAAAAGCUCAUUAUUUUUAAGGUGUUAUUUCUCCCUCAAUUUGGCCUAUAAAUUUAAUGCAAUUCCUAUUAAAAUUUUUGCAGGUUAUCUUGGUAGCUAUUGACAAGAUGGUUUUAAAAUAUGCAUGGACAUACAGGAGACUUAGUGUAGCUGAAACAAUUUUGUAAAAGAAGGACAAAGUUGAAGGAUCACACUACUUCAAGAGUAACUGUAAAGCUACAGUCAUCAAGAGAGUGUAACACUGGGGAAAAGAUAGACAUAUAGAUCAAUGGAGCAGGAUAGAAAAUCCAGAAUUAGACCCACAUAUAUAUAGUGAACUGAUUUUUUUCCCCCAAAAGUGCCAAGGUAAUUUAGUGGGAAAAAGUUGCCUCAACAAGUAGUUCCAAAAUAAUUGGAUAUUCACGUGGGAAAAAUGAACAUUGAUUCUUACCUUACACUAUAAAAUGUACUCGAUGUAGAUCAUAGACCUAACUGUAAAAGCUAAAAUUUGUAGAAGAUGGGAGAAGAUGUCUUGAAGAAGGCAAAGGUUUUGUAGGAAACAAAGCAUGAACCAAAAUUGACAAAUGAGACUUUAUCAACAAAAUUUAAAACUUUUAUUUUUUGCAAAACAGAUAGUGAAGAGGCAAGCCACAGACUGGGAGGCAGUAUUUGUAGCACAUGUAUCUGACAAAGUACAUGUAUUCAAAAUAUAUAAAGAACUCAUAACUAAAUGAGAAAGUCUAGUAAAAAUAAGCAAAUGGUUUGAACAGAUACUUCACAAAAGAUAUAUGCAUAGCUAAGAAAUACAUGAAGAGAUGCUCAAGAUCAUUAGUUUUUAGAAAAAUGAAAAUUACACUCAACAAUGAACUACCACUAAACAUUGACUAGGAGGACUAAAAUUUAAAAGACUGACCAUGCCAACUAUUGGCUAGAACUUGGAUUAAUUGGAACUCCUACACUGAUGAUAGGAAUGUAAAGUUUUACAACCACUUUGGAAAACAGUUUAGCAGUUAUAAAAAAAAAAAAAAAAAAAAAGUAAGACAAGCCUGUCAUAAAAUCUAGCCGUUACAGAAGCCAGGUGUGGUGGCACAGGCCUAUAAUCCCAGCUACUCAGGAAACUGAGGCAGGAGGAUCACUUGAGCCCAGCAGCUCAAGACUAGCCUGGGCAGCAUAGCAAGACCCUGUCUCAAAACUUAUGGAGAAAAAUCUAGCCAUUAUAGAUAUUUACCCAAGGGAAAUGAAGGCACAUAUUCCUAUAAAAAUUAAAUAUGGAUGUAUAUAAUAGCUUCAUUCACAAUAAUUCUAAACUAACCCAAAUGUUCGUCAGAAAUGAAUGAAUGAACAAAAUACAGUAUACCCAUACAAAGGAAUAGUACUCAGUAGUAAAAGCAAAGGAACAAACUACUGACACAACAACAUGGAUGUCUCAAAAUCAGUGUGCUCUGAAGGAAGCCAGGGAAAAGGGAGCUCACACUGUAUCAUUUCAUUUACAUUAAAUUUUAGGAAGUACAAACCUGUGGUCACAGAAAGCAAAUCACUAGUUUCCUGGGGUCUGCCUCAGAAGGGACGACUUACAAAAGGGGCAGGAUGAGUGGGGUAAUAUUCUGUAUUUGAUUGCUGUGAUAGUUUCAAAGGUUGUGAAGCUUUCUCAAAACUCUGAAUUGUACACCUUAAAUGUAUGCAGUGUAUUCUACAUAAAUUAUAUUUCAAUGAAGUGGAUUAAAAAAAGUUCAGGGCUUUGCAAUUUACUCCAAGAAUAAAAGCUUAAGCAGGGAAGAAAUACGCAACGUGCAUCUCCAUCAUUUAUCAGCUCUGUGUAACUUGGUUAAUUUGCUUGCGUAAAUUAUUUACCUUUUCUGUGCCUAUUUUCCUGCUUAUAAGAAUCAGAAUAAUAAUACCUGCCUCAUACAAUUAUUGUGAAAAUUAAAAUACAUACUUCAUACAAAAUGUUUGGGACAUAGUAGGUACUGUUGAUUGUUAGCUAUUAAAUUUUAUACAAUUUGGAUUUCAUAGUCUACAUUCUCACACCCCUAAAACGACAAGCCAGAAAUCAGUAACAAAAAAUAACUUGUAAAGCUGGGUGUAGUGGCAUGUGCCUAUAGUCUGAGAUACUCAGGAGGCUGAGGCGGGAGUAUCACUUGAGCCCAGGAAAUUGAGUCCAAUCCUAGGCAAUAUAUCGAAACCCUGUCUCUUAAAAAAACAGCAAACAAAAAACAACUUAUGAAGGUUCGUUUAGAAAUUUUUAAAACCAUUAUUAACACAUGGAUAAAGGAAGAAAUUGCAAUGACAUUUUAGAAAUACUAUAUGCUAAUAAAAAGACUAUAUAUCAGAACUUGAAUUCUGCAGCUAGGUUGGCUUGCAGAAGUAAAUUUAGAACCUUAAAUGUUUACAUUAGAAAAAAACUGAAAUUUAAUAAGCUAAUCAUCUAAUUUGUGUUAGAAAAAGAACAGGAUAAAUCCAAAGGAGAUGAAUCUUGACACUUAUAAAACAGAAAAAACAAAGAGGCUUGAUAAAGCCAAAAGCUACCUAAUGCCUUUCUUCAUAAUCAGACUUCUUUCAGAGUUGACCAUGCAUGUAUCACCAUUUUCUCACUUCUCAAGCCACUCUCAUCUGCCUUUCCCCCGUCGCUCUGCAAAAUAGUUGUUGCCUAUGGCUCACAAUGACCUUCAUGUCAACAAGUUCAUUAGACAUUUUUCAGUGUUCAUUCAAAUUAACCUCUCAGCAGCAAUUGACUCCCCUGUAUCUUUCCCCUUAACACUUUUCCACUGGCUAGCACACUGAAUAGCAUACUCUUGAAUUUUUUGUUACCUUGUUAGCUUCUUUAUAAGCUCAUACUCUUGUCUUGCCAUCAGAGAGGUUGUGAUUUCAAAACACUUAAGCCUAGAUCCCCUCUUUCCAAGUGAUCACAUCCACUUUUGUGACAUCAUGCCACUUAAUGAAUCACAAAUUUAUCUCUGAUCGUCACCCACACUACUCUUGAGUUCUGACUCCGUAGAUUCUACACUGAUUUGAUAUCGUCGUGAUAUCUGAUGCACUCAGAUUCAACAUGUCCCAAAGUGAGCUCAUGAUCUUUCCUCCUCUUGUCCCACCCUACACCUGUCUCCAUCAAAACCUGGUUCUUGAAGCAGUCACAGUACAGUGACUUGGGAGGCCAAGGUGGCAGCAUCACUUGAGCCCAGGAGUUUGAGGCUGCAGUAAGCAAUGUUUGUGCCACUAUACUCCAGCCUGGGUGACAGAGCCAGACCCCAACUCACACACACACACACACAGAAAACUUGGUUCUCCUCUUUUAUUCCCCAUUUCAUUGCCUAGGAUUGCCAUCCAGUUAUUUAUGUAAUUCAGAAACCUAUGAGCCAUUCUUCAUAUUGCUUUGUCCCUCAUUCCUCACCUUCACUCAAUCACCAAAUCCUGUUACCUCCUAACCUCUCUUAAGUUCAUUCACUUCUCCCCUUCAAAAUGCCCGGUCCGGGCUACUAGCAUCUAUUGCCUAGUCCAUGGCAGUUACCCUUCUAAUUGAUGUGUCUGUAAACUCUGGCCCCCACAGGCCCAUUCUCCAUAGUGUUACCAGAGUUUUUUGAAACAAAAAUCUAUUAUAAAAGCCCCACCCUUAGAUUCCUCCAUUGGCUCUAGUUACUCAUUAGAAUAAAGAGAGUUUUAUAUUUAAUACCAGGCAUUUCAUGGUUCCAGCCUAAUCUCAAACUAUGCUCCUCAUCUCACCAUUCCAGCCACAUAAAUGUUAUUCCUUUGUACUUGCUAUAUUCCAUUUGCUACAGAGCCAUUCCAUAUUCUUUUCUUGCUACUUAGAAUGUUCUUUCCUCCUCCUCUGCUUAGUUAACUGUCAACUCCAGGGCAGUGCUUCUUCAGGGAAGCCUUCAUCCAACUAAAGUUAGAUUCCAAAAUUAUAGACUAGUAGAGCAUUACGCUGCUCCUCUUCAUAUCAUUUGCACAGUCAGAAUUUUAUAUUUGUGUGACUUCUUUGUGUGAGCUUACUAAAUUGGUAAGCACUAUAGGAGUAAGGACUAAGUCUGUUCUUGCUGUAUCCCUAGUGCCUAAUUUAACAUCUGAUGUGUAUUGGGUGUUCAGUAAAUACUGAAUGAAGUUCUUGUUCACCAUAUCCCAAAUAGCAUAGUAGGGAGGAAUCCCUGGAUAUGUAAUUUCACAGCAGAAUUUGCUCUACCCUUUUCUUUCUUCUCUUUUUCCACUUAUCUACCUCUUCCAUUAAAAAAAAAAAAAAAGCUUGCUUUAAAACAAGAGUCCCAAAACCAAAUGCCUAGAGAGACCUGAAUUCUAUAACCAUCUGAGAGAGAAUAGGGAGUGUUGGUGAUUGUGGUGAACCGGAAAGUACAUGUUUAAAGGAGGACAAACCUUAAUUCAGUUCUAGCUGUGAGAUUACAUUGUCAAAUCAUCUGAUUUUUCAAGAGAAAUCGGAAAUUUGGGUUUCUUAAAAUGAAAAAUCUACUUUUUAAAUAAUGACAGAGGAUUUUCAAGCAUGUUUAAAAUACUGUAGGCUAAUACUGAAUAAGCUAAGCAAAACUUUUGUGGAUCAAACCGUGGGUUAUUUUCUUCUCCUCCUCUUCCUCCUCCUCAUAGGAAUGAAACAACUAAAUAUAAUCCUGUCUUUAUAAUUUGCAUAUACCAAGAUUUAAUUACAUUUAAUACCUAUCAAAGUUAGUUAAAAUGAACUCUGAAUAACUUAUACCUUAUGGAAAAAUUACGGUGUUCCAAGUCUGACCGAAUGUGUAGAAAGUACCAUAUAUCUUUGGAUAUACCAUCUAUGUCUGUCUUCCCCUUCUAUACUACAUACUGCUAUAGAUCAGCCACUGUUUUAUAUUUAUUUUGAAAGAAAUUUUGCAUUCUCUUCACAUAGCACCGUUACAUAUGUGGUCAGUGCUUAAUGACUUGGAUGGUUGAGCAAAUUAGUGGUAAAGUAAGGGAAUUUAAAAUAAGCAUUUUCUUCUUUCCACCUUCACAAACAAAAUCAGAAUCUAACUUAACUUCAUGGAAUGUUUCAUCUAAUUUGUUUUAAAUAAAACUUUUAAAACUUAA